UCUUCACAACACUAUAAUCCCUCUAAACACACACCAGGGCGUCUCUCAGUCAAUGACUGACUGUCAUGGAGUACAUAAGACUGGUCAUGUGUCCUCAAGGAAAACCGUCAGUGUGUGAAACAAAUUAACUGUAAAAAAUUGGAGGUUACAUAAAGAACCACUUAGGAUGAUGGACAGACGAGGUGGAGAGAAGAUUAUAGUUUAAGUAGCAAGAUAUUCAGGUAGAAGAGACACCGAAGACACUUAGACUUCAGAAGAGAUCAUAAAAUGA